rnacentral:rRNA from 1 species
AUGUCAGGCAUGAAUGCUGGUAUGGGAUCUGCUCGUGGUGAUCAACUGGAGGCAGGAUUUGCGAAGCUUCAAGGCGAAGACUUCCAGUACAUCAUGCAAUCUUAUGAAAUCAUCGUGGGACGCAAUUCCAAGAAAGGAAAGGUAGACUUUGAUCUUAGCGCCGUUGGUGGAGAUAGGGAUGUUUCCCGCCGCCAUGCACGCAUCUUCUAUGAUUUUCAACACCGCUCGUUUGCCCUUGAGGUUCUGGGCCAACAUGGCUGCUAUGUUCAGAGGGUCCUUCACCGCCCAGGUGAUGAUCCCGUUAAACUGAAGUCUCAGGAUCUCAUUCAGAUUGGACAAACACAAUUCUACUUUCUCCUACCAGCUCGCCCCAUCUUUGCAUCCUUUGCUGCUGAGGGCACGCCACACUCAUUUAAUUUUCGUGGCCAAACCAUUCAUAUUGAUUCCGCCGCCACAGCUUCUCCUUGGCAAACUCAUAUUCCAUCACAACCCAUGUCUUCAUCCGGCAAGCGCCCUGCCCAUUCUGAUUUUUCUGCUUCUCGUCACAAUGGUUAUGGCGGGGCCAAUUGUGGCAAUGGAAUUAAUGUUGGCACUGGAACUCAAGGACUGUUUACGGUGCCAAUCAAGAUGUCCUCUGCUGAACUGAAGACCGGGCCUAUCAACGUUGAACGUGCCAAAAUAUUAGAAACUAGAAUCGCACACAAGGAUGAAGACAAGAAGUUGGAGUAUCAUCUUGCCUCAUGUGUUGCAAUAAUGCUUACUGGAAAGUUCACUGCGAUAUGGCCCUAUGGCAAUGCCCAAAAGUACCUGGCAGCAGAGGAUGGCUCAUCAACCAGAACAGCUGAGAGGCCAUGGCACAGGCUGUUGGAGCUGCUCAAGAAUCACCCGGAGAGGUUUAUCAUGAGUUCAGUCUCUAGAGGCACAAUAACAUUAGAGUUCGUUUCGCUGGUCAGCUUGGCUGAUAAGUUUUGCUCCCCUGAGGUUGAUCAGGUGGAGUGUGUCGGCGGCGGCGGCGUGUCUCCAGCGACGGCGGUGUCCUCCUGGGCGUGUGGUCAAGCUGGUUGGGUGCUCUUCGUUGGGCUGCAGGGCUCCUCCGGUGCCCGUGGAUUCUCCAGGAUGGGAGGGGAUAGGGUUCCCCUCCUCCGGUGGCUGCUCUUCUGCUCGUCGAGCGAGCCGAUGAUCUGAUUAGGCGUCGUCGGCAGGCUGGGAACGCCUGGUUCCAUCCCUGUGGUUUCCUGCGAUGCCAUUCAUGCAGGUUCUAGGGUGAGCAUGUCCAUCGCUCACCGGUGCGGCGCCUCGAGCCAGGCGAGGAGGCAGGGGCCUUCUGUGACGAUGGAUCUAGAUGGAUGUGUCUCCUUCAAGCCCAAGCGUUCGGCUAUGGCGUGCUUUGCUCCGUCGUCGGUGCUCUUUCCUGAGACGUUUAGCGUUUUUGCCUUGGUUCUCGGCGUGUUUGGGGUUCAUGGCAUCUCUAGCUAUGCUUGCUAG